AGCUCCUCCUUGUAGAGAGAGAGUAGAGACUCCUGGCUGAGGAUGUGCACCUGGCCCUUGAAGAUGGGCACCUGCACUUUUCCUUCCAUUUGCUCCUGGGACUUGGUGAUGCAAUGGUGGACAGAUUUACACUCAGGGUUGAUUUUGUGCACUUCCCGAUCCAUAGUGAAGUCCUCGAUGUCUAAAUCAGCCUGUUGAAGGAUGGUGCCUGCUGGGGUCUUGUAGAUACCUCUGGACUUUAUUCUAAUGAAGCAGUUCUCCAUAAUGUCAAUACAGCCCAUGCCGUGCUUGCCCGUGACUUCGUUCAGGUACACGAAGAGCUCCAAGGAGGUCUGGUGAGGUGGUGCCAUCUUGAUGGUCACUUUCACGGGGACCCCUUUUUUUGAACUUGAUCUUGAGAAUUUCAGGGGUGUUGUGGGCUUUGGCUAGGUCCUGGGUAUAUCGGUAAUGACAUCUUUGCCUUUGUGUUCAUUUUUGAAAAAUAUUUGAUCUGGCUGUAUGAUUUUUAGUCUCACAGUUUUUUUCUAACAGCACUCUAAGAAUGUCAUUCCAUUUCCUUCCAGCUUGCAUAAUUUCUGACAAGACAUGUGUUAUUAUAUUUACUCCUAUAUUAUGUGCCUUUUUUUCUGGGUACUUUUAAGAUUUUUUUCUUUGUUACUUUUUUUUUUUUUUUUUAGCAAUUUGAUUAUAUCAUGUCAUGGUUUUUCUUUAUUCUUCCUGGGCUUUGUUGAACUUCUUGGAUUUGUAGGCUGAUAUUGUUUAUUAAAUUCAGAAAAAUUGGGGGCAUGUUUUCUUUAAAUAUUUUCUUGACCUCUUUCCUCUUAUUUUAGUGCUUGAAUUAUAAAAAUGUUAGAUUGUUGUUGCCCUCACAUGUUACCAAGACUGUUUAUUUUUAAAAUAUUUUCUUCCUUCAUACUUUGUUUAAAAUAAUUUAUGUUGCUAUGUUUCCAGCUUCACUGAUAUUUUCUGUAGUGUCUUAUCUGCAACAUUUUCGUAUCAAAAAUAUUUUUAAAUAUUUAGACACUUAAUUUGGUGAUUCUCAAUAUGUUCUCUUUGUCUUCUCGUUAUGUUCAUAUUUCCUUUAAGUCUUUAAUCUUAUUGAACUUAUUUUAAUAGCUGUUUUAAGGCCUUUUAAUGUUAAUUUUGUUAUCUUUGUUAAUUGGAUCUGUUUUUAUUGACUGAUUUUUCUCCUAGUUGUGGGCAACAUUUUCCUCCCUUUUAUUUGUCUGUCUCUAAUUUUUUUUUUCACUGUUAGGCAUUGAAUAUUAGUAUUUACAUUGUUCAGCUGAAUUUGAACAAUGUACAUACUAAUUUACAUUGGUUUUUCUUUUUGGUUACUAAUGUAGUACUAAUUACAUUUUGGUUUUUCUUUUAAAUGGUCUCUCUCCCCACCACCCUCCACUUUUUUGGUAGGCAUUUAAAUUAUUUGCAGAUCAGCCUGCUCAUUUCAAGGCUAUUUUUGUGCUUUUCAAGGAUGAUCUAGGGUAAUCUUUAGAGCUAGUUUAGACUCACUACUAAGGCAUGAGCUUUCUGGAGUCUCUACAGAAUACUCUGGGUAUUCAACAACAAGGGCUCUUCAUUCUUGGAAUUGUUCACUUUAUAACUCCCCUGAAAUUGAUCUUUUCCUGCUAUUUUUCACUUGGCUGCUUGGAGUUUCACCCUAUGCAGCACAGAUUCCUAUUCAAAGCCUCAUGAGUAUUCUUAUGCCAAUCUCUGCAUAGCGUUCUUUUUAUCUUUAAUAUGUCCCACAAAUUCCAGCCAUCCCAGUGUCUUCAAACUCUAAUCUGUUUCUCAACUUAUUUGGACCAUGAGGCUCUGAGUUCCCCAUUCUUAUACCACAGUUUGGACUUUGCAUCUAGGUUGGAAUAGGGGCAGUCUUAGAUAUCACCUGAUUUGUUUCCCUUUUGUUAAUAAUCACAUGCCUCUUCUGCCAUUGGUCCACUAUCUGAAAUAGCUUUAUAUAUUUUGUCCACUUUUCUAGUUAUGUAUAGGAUUUUGAGGGCAAUCCUGUAGAAGUUCAGCAUAAUUAUUUGUUUCACUUAAAUUUAAUGAAUGUAAUUUUUCUAAAUCUGAAUAUUGAAUCUGGCUACUCUUAGAAGCAAGCUUUAUGUUACUGUAUGUUUUUAUUUUCAGAAAUUUCAAAUCUUUAUAUAGAGACCAUAAGAUUAUUUAACCAAGGUUAUACUGAUGUCUUAAAAAAAACUCUCAGGUUUUUCAGAAGAUACCCUUUAGCUUUGUAUCAAUAUAUCAUCUAGACAGAAAGUGCUGAUGUAGGUUUUUCAGUGCUAGUCUGCAAAGGAAUUGAAGAUGUUGUUCCUAAGGGCACUCCCCAAAAUGCAUGCAAAUCCCAGAAUCUUAGAGCCUGUUUUCUAGGGAAUCCACCUAUUAACAGGGAUAUAGAAUUGAUAGGAGUCACUAAUUUAGAGAGAGUGAUUAAGGAAGACCUCUAACUUGAGGUAAUCUUUGAUCAGAGACCUGAAUAAAAUGAGGAAUUAAACCACCUAGAUAAGUUGGGGGAAACUUUUCCAGACAGAAGAGCAAAUGCAAAGAUCUAAGGCAGGACCAUGCUUGACAGUAAAAGACCAUGUGGGGAGUGACCAGAGUCAGUAAGAGGGAGGAAAGGUAGAAUAUAACAAGAGGCCACACCUUGCAUGGCUUUUGAAGUGUUUUCAGUAAUGGAAUUCCAUGAUCACUCUAGAUGCUCUGUAAAAAUUGAGUGUAAGGGACCAAGAACAGAAAUAGGGACCCAGUAAGGAGGCUACUACAAUAGUCCAGGUGAAAAUGGUUGUGACUUGAGUUAGGGUGGUAGCAUUGGAGUGGCUGAGAAGUGGCCAGAUUCUGGAUAUAUUUUAAAGAUGUACUUUUUUGAUGGCUGGGAUAUGGAGUAUGAGAGAAAUAGAGGAAUCAAGGAGGAUUCUGAAGUUUUUGGCCUAAGCAAUUGGAUGAAUGGAAAUUGUGUAUUGAGAUACAAGAGGCAAAGGAGUGGCAGGGGUGGUAGAAAGCAAAUUUUACCUUUUAGACAUGUUAAAUUUGUAUGCCUAUAAGACAUCCAAAUAUAAUGUAGAGAAGUUGUCAUUCAUAUCUGAGUCAGGACUGAAGAUAGAAUUUGGGUAAUUUUCAGGAUAUACAUUAUAUUUAAAGCUAUGCACCUUAGUGAGAUCACCUAGACAGAGAUUGGCAAUUUUUCUUCUGUAAAGGAUCAGAAGCACUAUCUAGUCCUUGUUGCAGCUAUUCAAUUUUUACCUUGUAUUGUGAAAGGAGCUGUAGACAAUAAUUAAGAAAAUGGGUGUGGCUGCGUUCCAAUAAAACUUUAUUUAUAAAAAUUAAUAGGUGAAUUUAUGUGUAUUACAAUAUAAAAUGUUCAUAACUUUUUAGAGAUUUGAGUGUGAAGUUCUAAUAAUAAUUUUUAGUGCAUUUUUUUCAAAUAUGCUAUUUUUAAACUAUAAUGUGUGGGGUUAUUUGUUAAGAUGAUGUAGUUGGAAUUUUCUGUUCCUGAACUUUUAGCUGGUCUCUGUGUUCGUGGUGCCUGUAUACUUGGGAGCAGUAAAAGCAGAGAAAGAGAGUUCAGAGAUAACAGAUAAAUCCUUUAAAUUUGAGUAUUUCCAUUUCUUGAGACCUUUGAAAUUUUUAUAAAAGUACACCAUUGCACAUUGUCUACCAAGUAGAUAAAGUACUGUGAGCUAGGGCUGUGUUAAAUGUGAUGCAUAUGCCAGGCCUUCAUAAAGGAUAAAACUCCCUGUGUGUUAUGCCGCUGCUGGAUUAGUUAAUUAGUAUAUGUGUUUGUGGGGGGGUUGUUCCAAACUUCGUGAAUAUUUAAAGAACCUCUUGAACAGAAGUAGUAGUCUACUACCAGUCAGAGCCCAUAAUUCCAGAGUGCUACAGGAUGUGUAAUCUGUAGUGUUUCUUUGGAAAGGACAUGACUGGUUAAUUUUUCUCUUAUUCAAAGAAGUACAUUGAAAUUUGGAAAGGUAUUAGAACUGCAGUUUUAAUCCUACUUAUCUAUAUAUUAUUUUAAUGCUAAAAUUCUUUUGCUACUACAGGAUUUGUUUUUCUUUAAAGAACCAUAUUCUGCCUUGUGUUAUUGUUAGUUAAGCACAGGUCUGUCUUAAUCAGAAUACACUCCUUGGAGGCAGAAAAUUGACUUUAAUUGCCUUUGCUCCCCCAUAACACUUAGAAUAGGUUGGCAAUCAGAAAAUGUUUGAGUUAAAAUACUGUCUUUAGUAUUUACAGCCUCACCAGCAUCUGUUGUUUCCUGACUUUUUAAUAAUCGCCAUUCUAACUGGCAUGAGAUGGCAUCUCAUUGUGGUUUUGAUUUGCAUUUCUCUAAUGACCAGUGAUGAUGAGCUUUUUCUCAUAUGUUUGUUUUCUCUUCUUCAGACACUCUGGAUAUAUGCAAAUUCAGUAAUAUGAAUUUUAUAGUUUAAGUAAAUUUGUUUACUAAUGCUUAUUUAGUGGAGAGUCCAGAUGGAAUUAAUGCCCAAUAGUUUUUUUGAGAAUGUGGCAGAAUAAUAUUACUAUAGAUAGUUGUGUAUUUUUAGUACAAUAGAGAUUAAAUUAUACUAUGCUUUCAAUUAACUUACUUAAAUGGGCGAAAGGCAAAAACUAUCAACAGCAGAAUAAAGAAAGAUUACAUAUGUAAAAGUACCAAAAAGCUGUAUUGUGUUUGCUUCAUUUUCUCACUUUUAGAAAUUUUGUACCUGUACUAUGAUUUUCAUUAAAAUGUAGAUAUUUCUUAUACUAGCACAUUCAUUUACAAGAAAUAAAGAAAUUUUGCUCAAAUGAUUAUAAUACAGUAUAAAGUAAAACUGAGUUCAUGUAGUAAUGUGUGGAGACACGAACAAAAUUGGACUAAAAUUUUUUAUUGAUUGCUUUCUAAUUAUGGUAGAAAUACAUUUUAGGUUUCCAUUUAUGGAGAAAGAAAAAAAUGGCAGAGGGUAGAAGAGUGAUGUGGAAGAAAAAAUAGAAAAUAUAACUUGAUACUUUUGGUUGAAAGAAAAAGAUGAUUGAGGCAAUUGGCCACACCUGCUCUGUCUGACUACUCUUGACUCCUUUGGCUUCUUAGUGUUUUCACCAUCCUAACCACUGCUGGCCAGUCCCGUCACAGCUGCCCUCUGCUUCCUGCUGCGCUAUAUGUUUGGCCACUCUCAUGUUCACAUGAAUGGUACAAGACAUUAACUCAUGAAGUCAAAGGAUACUCAUCAGGUGGCGAACAGCUGCACACAUAAUGCACAGCUCCACAGUGACAUAUAACAGUGUGUUCAAAUACUUCAGAAAGACCCUUGCCACUUCGAUGACACCAAUCAAGGACCUGAUCAAUGGCC
rnacentral:lncRNA from 1 species